CUGCAGUACUUACGCUGACUCACCCGCCUCCUGGUGAGGGAUCCUUGGGCAGUGGCUACAAAAAGCAGAUUCUGUGGUUGUGUAUGCAGCUCAUUCCUUUUAGGUGUUGCUGUAAGGGACCUUGGGGGCCGUG